GGGGUGAGUGCCGGAUCCUGGACUGUGUCCCCCGGCGUCCUGGGCUCCUGGGCCUGUGCUGCUGGAAUCGGGAUCCCGGGGCCGUGCAGCUCCCU
rnacentral:pre_miRNA from 1 species